UACGUAGGGUGCGAGCGUUAAUCGGAAUUACUGGGCGUAAAGCGUGAGUAGGCGGUUUCGCAAGUCCGAUGUGAAAUCCCCGGGCUUAACCUGGGAACUGCGUUGGAAACUACGAAGCUAGAGUGCGGCAGAGGGGGGUGGAAUUCCUAGUGUAGCGGUGAAAUGCGUAGAUAUCAGGAGGAACACCGGUGGCGAAGGCGGGUCUCUGGGCAAUAACUGACGCUGAGGAGCGAAAGCGUGGGGAGCGAACAGG
rnacentral:rRNA from 1 species